AUGGUGCGGAGGAUUGUUCGCCUCCCGCUGAUCGUGGCGAUGAUCUCACGGAUUCUGACCGUGUUCGUUGACCAGUCGCCUUCCUCCUUAUCAGUCGUAGAGGGUGAGAUGGCCAGCGUCUCGUGUACGCUGCUGAAAACGGACUAUACACGAAUGUAUUGGUACAGGCAGCGACCCGGCCAGGCAAUAGAUUGUCUCUUCUACUCUGCUGGACAAGGUUCGGUCACGAACUACACAUCCGAUUCCUUCACGGCUACAAGACGCAGCAGCACUCUGUUUAAACUGGAAUUGGGACGGGCAUCGGCCUCCCACUCCGCCGUCUACUACUGCGCUUGUAGUAGCGCACAGAACUUCAGAUAA